rnacentral:rRNA from 1 species
AUGGUGCACCACAUUGUUAGCGAGAAAGAAUUCGAGGAUGGUUGGGCAUGUAUGGUUGAGAAACAUGGUCUACAAAAUAAUGUAUUCCUCACACAGAUAUAUGAGACGCGGAUGAAAUGGGCUAAACCUUACUUCAUGGAUGUUUUCUGCGCCAAAAUGACCAGCACGCAACGUAGCGAGAGUGCUAAUCAUUUGCUCAAAGGAUAUGUGCCACCAGGAUCACCGAUGCACCUUUUCGUCCGGCAAUAUGAGAAGAUGCAAUUUGACAGAGAUUCAGAGGAGAGCUAUCAAGAGAAGAGAACGAAACUGGGGGGCGUUGUGCUGGCUCAGAACCUACCUGUUGAGGUACAUGCAUCGAAAAUUUAUACAAGGGCCAUGUUUGAAAAUUUUGGUGAGGCACUAUAUGAAUGUGGAUCAUAUGUUCUCAUCGAAGAUGUGCCUCAUCGUGAAUACACAGUGAGGCAUGUAAAGAAGGAUUCAAGGGACAAAUGGUGCAAAAAUGAAUUCCACGUUCAGGUCAACGAGGAUGCAGACGAAUUCAAGUGUGAAUGUGGAAUGUUUGAACAUUUUGUCAUGGUGUGCAGCCAUGCCCUGAAGGUGCCUUUUUCUAUGGUUAUUGCUCAGUUGUACAUACAAGACCACAUGUGUGCCUAA